rnacentral:rRNA from 1 species
GCGGCAGGCUUAACACAUGCAAGUCGAGCGCCCCGCAAGGGGAGCGGCAGACGGGUGAGUAACGCGUGGGAAUCUACCCAUCUCUACGGAACAACUCCGGGAAACUGGAGCUAAUACCGUAUACGUCCUUCGGGAGAAAGAUUUAUCGGAGAUGGAUGAGCCCGCGUUGGAUUAGCUAGUUGGUGGGGUAAUGGCCUACCAAGGCGACGAUCCAUAGCUGGUCUGAGAGGAUGAUCAGCCACACUGGGACUGAGACACGGCCCAGACUCCUACGGGAGGCAGCAGUGGGGAAUAUUGGACAAUGGGCGCAAGCCUGAUCCAGCCAUGCCGCGUGAGUGAUGAAGGCCCUAGGGUUGUAAAGCUCUUUCAACGGUGAAGAUAAUGACGGUAACCGUAGAAGAAGCCCCGGCUAACUUCGUGCCAGCAGCCGCGGUAAUACGAAGGGGGCUAGCGUUGUUCGGAAUUACUGGGCGUAAAGCGCACGUAGGCGGAUACUUAAGUCAGGGGUGAAAUCCCGGGGCUCAACCCCGGAACUGCCUUUGAUACUGGGUAUCUCGAGUCCGGAAGAGGUGAGUGGAAUUCCGAGUGUAGAGGUGAAAUUCGUAGAUAUUCGGAGGAACACCAGUGGCG